rnacentral:lncRNA from 1 species
CAGCUUCUGGAGCCAGAAUAUCAUGUUCCAUCUGUUGCUUACUAGCUGUGUGCCAUUGGGCUUAGUGUCUCUGUGGCUCAGUUACCUUACUGUGAAAUGAGGCUAUUGUGAGGAUUAAAUGAGUUCAUGCUUGUAACACAUUUAAAGUGGUGCAGUCAAGGCUCUGUAAGUGUUGGCUAGUAUGAUUACUCCCUUUUUGGCUUGGGAGAGAGAGGAAGAGGGCUGAGGCCAUGGGCAGCUUGAAGACUUUGUGGAUCUUGGGCUUCUGGUUUAAAAAUGAACUCAGGUGAAGAAACUGGGUCUCAAAUCAGUGUUCCUAAGAACCAAAUAAAUACUAGUCGAAGUGAAAGUGAAGUUUCAGCCAGGAAGGUCAACAGACGUCUUCAAGAGUGCUUUGAAAACAAGUGGGAAGAAAAUUACCUCCUUGUGGAAAACCUACGGGGCCCUGUCACCUGGAAUAGGUCUAUGAUUUUGGUUUUCACUCAGGCCUCAUUUCCCUUAUAAGAAGAAUGAAAUAAGCUAAUGCAUAAAAGUGGCUUAGCAGACGGCCUGCCACAUGGUCAACUUAAAUAAAAAUGAUUAUUUGCUCUAGGGGGAUUUGGUGAGAUAAUUGUCAAUAAUUGAGAAAUAAGGGAAAUAAGAUUUUUUUCUGAUACUUAACCUUGAAAUUAAAUUCAAAUAAAUGGUGGAACAUUCAUACAAUAUAAUAAUACAUACCUGUUAAAAUGAUAACAUACAUUUGUAGUUAUUGAUAUGGAAAAAGGUCUAUAGAAUAUUGUUGCAUAAAAAAGUAGGUUAUAAAAAUCAUGUAUAAUGUGACUUUUCUUUUUCUUUUUAAAUUCACG